UACGCAGGGGGCAAGCGUUGUCCGGAAUUAUUGGGCGUAAAGCGCGCGCAGGCGGCUGUUUAAGUCUGGUGUUUAAGCCCGGGGCUCAACCCCGGUUCGCACUGGAAACUGGAUGGCUUGAGUGCAGAAGAGGAGAGUGGAAUUCCACGUGUAGCGGUGAAAUGCGUAGAGAUGUGGAGGAACACCAGUGGCGAAGGCGGCUUUUUGGUCUGUAACUGACGCUGAGGCGCGAAAGCGUGGGGAGCAAACAGG
rnacentral:rRNA from 1 species